rnacentral:rRNA from 1 species
CGUGACCUUUACUAUAGUUUGGUAUUGGUGUUUGGGUUGGCUUGUGUAGGAUAGGUGGGAGACUGUGAAGCCGUCACGCUAGUGGUGGUGGAGUCGUUGUUGAAAUACCACUCUGGUCAAUCUGGAUGUCUAACUUCGGGCCAUGAUCUGGUUCAGGGACAGUGCCUGAUGGGUAGUUUAACUGGGGCGGUUGCCUCCUAAAGUGUAACGGAGGCGCCCAAAGGUUCCCUCAGCCUGGUUGGCAAUCAGGUGUUGAGUGUAAGUGCACAAGGGAG